rnacentral:rRNA from 1 species
GACGAACGCUGGCGGCGUGCUUAACACAUGCAAGUCGAACGGUAAGGCCCUCCGGGGUACACGAGUGGCGAACGGGUGAGUAACACGUGGGUGAUCUGCCCUGCACUUCGGGAUCAGCCUGGGAAACUGGGUCUAAUACCGGAUAGGACUCCGGACUGCAUGGUCUGGGGUGGAAAGCUUUUGCGGUGUGGGAUGGGCCCGCGGCCUAUCAGCUUGUUGGUGGGGUGAUGGCCUACCAAGGCGACGACGGGUAGCCGGUCUGAGAGGGUGACCGGCCACACUGGGACUGAGAUACGGCCCAGACUCCUACGGGAGGCAGCAGUGGGGAAUAUUGCACAAUGGGCGCAAGCCUGAUGCAGCGACGCCGCGUGAGGGAUGACGGCCUUCGGGUUGUAAACCUCUUUCAGCACAGACGAAACGCAAGUGACGGUAUGUGCAGAAGAAGGACCGGCCAACUACGUGCCAGCCGCCGCAGUAA